CCUACGGGAUGCAGCAGUGGGGAAUAUUGCACAAUGGGCGCAAGCCUGAUGCAGCCAUGCCGCGUGUAUGAAGAAGGCCUUCGGGUUGUAAAGUACUUUCAGCGGGGAGGAAGGUGUUGUGGUUAAUAACCGCAGCAAUUGACGUUACCCGCAGAAGAAGCACCGGCUAACUCCGUGCCAGCAGCCGCGGUAAUACGGAGGGUGCAAGCGUUAAUCGGAAUUACUGGGCGUAAAGCGCACGCAGGCGGACUGUCAAGUCGGAUGUGAAAUCCUCGGGCUCAACCUGGGAACUGCAUUCGAAACUGGCAGGCUAGAGUCUUGUAGAGGGGGGUAGAAUUCCAGGUGUAGCGGUGAAAUGCGAAGAGAUCUGGAGGAAUACCGGUGGCGAAGGCGGCCCCCUGGACAAAGACUGACGCUCAGGGGCGAAAGCGUGGGGAGCAGACAGGAUUAGAUACCCCCGUAGUC
rnacentral:rRNA from 1 species